rnacentral:lncRNA from 1 species
ACUCCCUCGCCUGGUUACUAGUGGGUUCUGUCGCCUCAUUCAUAAAGAUGAGAUCGCUGAAACAACAGGCAGCCACAAAGCUCCAGGAAAUAUAACAGCAUGCAGCUCCUCUCCAAGGAAUCGCUUAAUCCUGAAAGUCUUGUGAGAAGACAUGGCAAGAAGCAGAGUCAAGCGCACACCACGAUGGCGGAGAAAGGAAGAUAGAGGGGGCAUGCUUCUGUUUUAAGACUACUAUUCCACAAUAUUCCAUUGGGUUGUUUGCAGAUUAAAUAAGCAUUCCUCCUCUUCACCUGAAAAUAUCCUGUUCAUUGACUACAACUGAGUUACUAUCUGUCUUGUUCACUCCCGGAUUCCCAGAACACAGGGCAGUGCCUGGCACCUGGUAUGCUCUGAAGUAGCAAUUCCUUUCAAGGCAAAGUCAUCAGAAAGAAAGAAGAAAAGAAAAAAAGAAAGAGAGAG